rnacentral:rRNA from 1 species
UACGGAGGAGGCAAGCGUUAUCCGGAAUUAUUGGGCGUAAAGCGUCCGCAGGUGGCACUUCAAGUCUGUCGUCAAAGACUGGGGCUUAACCCUGGAAAGGCGGUGGAAACUGAAGCGCUAGAGUACGGAAGAGGCGAGUGGAAUUCCCGGUGUAGCGGUGAAAUGCGCAGAUAUCGGGAGGAACACCAAUUGCGAAGGCAGCUCGCUGGGACGUUACUGACGCUGAGACGCGAAAGCGUGGGGAGCAAACAGG